GCUGUCGUGGCCGAGUGGUUAAUGCGAUGGACUAGAAAUCCAUUGGGAUCUCCCCGCACAGGUUCGAAUCCUGUCGACUGCG
rnacentral:tRNA from 1 species